AGCAGCCGCGGUAAUUCCAGCUCCAAUAGCGUAUAUUAAAGUUGUUGCAGUUAAAAAGCUCGUAGUUGAAUUUCGGGGUCAGCAGGUUGGUCGUGCCUAUGGUAUGAACUGGCUUCGCUGGUCUCUCCUUUCUGAAGAACUGUAAUGCCAUUAAUUUGGUGUUGCAGGGACACAGGACUGUUACUUUGAAAAAAUUAGAGUGUUUAAAGCAGGCUAACGCUUGAAUACAUUAGCAUGGAAUAAUGAAAUAGGACGUUCGAACCUAUUUUGUUGGUUUCUAGGAUUGACGUAAUGAUUAAUAGGGGUAGUUGGGGGCAUUAGUAUUCAAUUGUCAGAGGUGAAAUUCUUGGAUUUAUUGAAGACUGACUACUGCGAAAGCAUUUGCCAAGGAUGUUUUCAUUAAUCAAGAACGAAAGUUAGGGGAUCGAAGACGAUCAGAUACCGUCGUAGUCUUAACCAUAAACUAUGCCGACUAGGGAUCGGAUGAUGUUAAUUUUUUAANGACUCA
rnacentral:rRNA from 1 species